GUCAGCUCGUGUCGUGAGAUGUUGGGUUAAGUCCCGCAACGAGCGCAACCCUUGUCCUAGUAUUGCCAGCGGGUUAUGCCGGGGACUUGCAGGAGACUGCCGGGGUCAACUCGGAGGAAGGUGGGGAUGACGUCAAGUCAUCAUGCCCCUUAUGUCCAGGGCUUCACACAUGCUACAAUGGCUGGUACAGAGGGCUGCGAUACCGUGAGGUGGAGCGAAUCCCUUAAAGCCAGUUCUCAGUUCGGAUUGGGGUCUGCAACUCGAGCCCCAUGAAGUCGGAGUCGCUAGUAAUCGCAGAUCAGCAACGCUGCGGUGAAUACGUUCCCGGGCCU
rnacentral:rRNA from 1 species